rnacentral:rRNA from 1 species
GCGAAAGCGAAUACUAACUAGUGUGUUGAGUGGCAUGUCCUGGACCCGAAGCGGGGUGAUCUACCCAUGGCCAGUGUGAAGCGACGGUAAGACGUCGUGGAGGCGCGAACCCACUUAGGUUAAAAACUGAGGGGAUGAGUUGUGGGUAGGGGUGAAAGGCCAAUCAAACUCGGAAAUAGCUCGUACUCCCCGAAAUGCAUUUAGGUGCAGCGUUGGUUUAGUUUUAUAGAGGUAGAGCUACUGAUUGGAUGCGGGGGCUUCACCGCCUACCAAUUCCUGACAAACUCCGAAUGCUAUAAAAUGAUGACCAGCAGUGAGGGCAUGGGUGCUAAGGUCCAUGUCCGAGAGGGAAAGAACCCAGACCAUCAGCUAAGGUCCCCAAAUGUAUGUUAAGUUGAAUAAACGAGGUUGAACUGCUUAGACAGCUAGGAUGUUGGCUUGGAAGCAGCCAUUCAUUUAAAGAGUGCGUAACAGCUCACUAGUCGAGCGGUUCGGCAUGGAUAAUAAUCGGGCAUAAACAUACUACCGAAGCUAUGGACUUUUAAAAGUGGUAGGGGAGCAUUGUA